rnacentral:rRNA from 1 species
UACGUAGGGGGCAAGCGUUGUCCGGAAUCAUUGGGCGUAAAGAGCGCGUAGGCGGCCCUGUAAGUCCGCUGUGAAAGUCAAGGGCUCAACCCUUGAAUGCCGGUGGAUACUGUCGGGCUCGAGUUCGGAAGAGGUGAGUGGAAUUCCUGGUGUAGCGGUGAAAUGCGCAGAUAUCAGGAGGAACACCGGUGGCGAAGGCGGGUCUCUGGGCCGAAACUGACGCUGAGGAGCGAAAGCGUGGGGAGCAAACAGG